rnacentral:rRNA from 1 species
CAGCCGUAAACAAUGUGCGUUAGGUGUGUCGGUAACCACGCGUUACUGAUGCGCCGAAGAGAAAUCGUGAAACGCACCACCUGGGAAGUACGGUCGCAAGGCUGAAACUUAAAGGAAUUGGCGGGGGAGCACCACAACAGGUGGAGCCUGCGGUUUAAUUGGAUUCAACGCCGGACAUCUCACCGGAUAAGACAGCUGAAUGAUUGUCAAUCUGAAGACCCUGCAUGACUAGCUGAGAGGAGGUGCAUGGCGUAGACGUCU